CAGGAACAAAGGUGCAAAUGUUCCCACUGUUUGUGCUAUAGCACAAUUGCAGUUUUCAUAAGAUUUUAAAAUAAUUUAGAUGGAAUAUGUUCAUCUACAUUAUCUCACUGGAUGUGGGAGUAUUGCUGAGGUUCAGUGUUUUGUUCUGUUUACAAAAGAUUUGUUAAUAUUCCGGUGGGUAGCAUGUGUCCAAAUCAUAUCAGUAUAGAGGGCACUCAGCUUCCUCUCAGCUUCAAGGUACCCAUACAAUGUCAAUGGAGAAUGAUAACCUAAAACAAAAAUUCAGCAGAAUGCAUCUAAUGACAGCAGGACCCCAUACUUAAAGGCAUUUUUUUCCUUUUUAUAUGUUUAAUCUUGUGUUUAUCCAGAAGGCUCCUAGAAACUACCUGCACUGUACUAUUUAUUUUUCCCUACCUACAGGCAGAAGGCUACACCCCAAAUAAGCACCCUUAACUGUGGACCUGGGGCAGCAACAAUCCUGUUUUUUCUGCAGAACAGUCAUGGGAUUCCACAGCCACUGAGGCUCCACAUUUAGGUACUGACCAGCGCAGCCAAAUUGCAUCUACCUGCACCCCUCUCCCAGUGAAUUUUCCCCUGUAAUAAAACCUGACCCAUUAUAAUCCCCAUUUAAUUCUACAGAGGCAACAAACUUCUGAUUCUGCUAUUUUGUUUUCAACAUGUAUCAUUAGCUUACGGGGAGAAAAAAAAUAUGUAAUGUUGAUUGUAGCUCAUUUCCUGCUCAGUGCUGUUGCCCAUAGGCCAGAGACUGAUAGACUGAUGACAGGUCUAUGGUACCAGAUCAAACUGAAAGUUGCCAGCCUUCACCUGGAGAUACCACUGAAUGGAGAGGACUUGACACAUCAGCUGCUGGCCCCUCAAGCAAGCAACACCUACCACAAUGCACCUAAUGUUACCCUGGAUUAAAAGCAGAGGAGAGCAUGACAAGACUCAGUCAGCACGUUCAGAAGAUUUUCAUGUUGGAAUAUUCAUCAAAGAUGUAUAUCUCCAGAGAAUUGCUAUAGUCUUAACCUAUGUAAAAUGCCUUGGUGGUUUAGUACUCAACAAUUAUUUCUUCCUUCAUCCUGAAGUAACUUCUAUUAGUAGCUGCUGGGGAAGAGAAGAAACAGAAUAACUGUCUUACCCUUAAUCCAGUAGGGGUGAAAAGAGGAAGAACCAGUCACAGAAUAAGUUUAUACACAAUACAGAUGACAACCCAUCAAAUGUUAAAUCAUCACUGUGUCACAGUAGCCUCUGACUAUGCAUAUAAAGAGUAAAUUCCCUUUUCCACAUUAGUGCAAAUUAUAAAUACCCUAAAUGUAUUGCAAUUAUACUGUUCUUUACAUAAGUCAGAAACUGCCAAAAUUGCUAUAAGGAUAAGGAUAUGAGUUUCAUCUUUCCUUCUCCUUGUA
rnacentral:lncRNA from 1 species